CCACUCACAGUGGUGCUCUCUGCUGCGAUAGGUUCAACUCCACUCACCGUGGUGCUCUACUGCGAUAGGUUCAACUCCACUCACCGUGGUGCUCUCUACUGCGAUAGGAUCAACUCCACUCACCGUGGUGCUCUCUACUGCGAUAGGAUCAACUCCACUCACCGUGGUGCUCUCUACUGCGAUAGGAUCAACUCCACUCACCGUGGUGCUCUACUGCGAUAGGUUCAACUCCACUCACCGUGGUGCUCUCUACUGCGAUAGGAUCAACUCCACUCACCGUGGUGCUCUCUGCUGCGAUAGGUUCAACUCCACUCACCGUGGUGCUCUCUGCUGAGAUAGGUUCAACUCCACUCACCGUGGUGCUCUCUGCUGUGAUAGGUUCAACUCCACUCACCGUGGUGCUCUCUGCUGUGAUAGGUUCAACUCCACUCACCGUGGUGCUCUCUACUGCGAUAGGUUCAACUCCACUCACCGUGGUGCUCUCUACUGCGAUAGGUUCAACUCCACUCACCGUGGUGCUCUCUACUGCGAUAGGUUCAACUCCACUCACCGUGGUGCUCUCUACUGCGAUAGGUUCAACUCCACUCACCGUGGUGCUCUCUACUGCGAUAGGUUCAACUCCACUCACCGUGGUGCUCUCUACUGCGAUAGGUUCAACUCCACUCACCGUGGUGCUCUCUACUGCGAUAGGUUCAACUCCACUCACCGUGGUGCUCUCUACUGCGAUAGGUUCAACUCCACUCACCGUGGUGCUCUCUACUGCGAUAGGUUCAACUCCACUCACCGUGGUGCUCUCUACUGUGAUAGGUUCAACUCCACUC